rnacentral:rRNA from 1 species
CUACGGGAGGCAGCAGUGGGGAAUAUUGCACAAUGGGGGAAACCCUGAUGCAGCGACGCCGCGUGAGCGAAGAAGUAUUUCGGUAUGUAAAGCUCUAUCAGCAGGGAAGAAGAAAUGACGGUACCUGACUAAGAAGCACCGGCUAAAUACGUGC